CGAUGGCCAAUCUAACAGCUAGAUAUCUAGCCCAUAGGACUAAGCCUUAGACGUUUCCAUUCUCUCUUCCCUUCCUCGCUCUAUUUUGUAACGCCCAAAAAUAAAACCCUAUUUAGUAUAUCAGAUUCAAUCCCUAGCUGUGAUUCAAUCUUUCUUCAUUCAAUUUCAGAAUCAGUACUAUUAGCUGUGAUUUAUUGGUCGCUCCAAAUUCCCAUUCAAUUUCAGAAUUUCAAAAAACAGUAACGGUUCUAAGAUUGCCCUAAUAAUGAUAUUUCUCAAAUUCCCAUUCAAUUUCAUGGAUUCAAUUGACUGCUGCUUCUAUAAAUUGUCUCCGAAAAUCGCAGAUCAGCAUCAGUCUCACCGAUUCGUCACUUGCCAACAGAGAAACCGAUGGCACCACAGAUUACCUGCAAACUUCAAAAGGUUUCUGGUUAGCUUUCAAGUUGAAGAUAAUACCAAAUGCCGCAAUCAAUGUUUCUCUUGACAGUGAGGUCCAUAAAUUGGUCUGGCAUACAGCAUAUAAACUCAUAAGUAGGUCAUAGAUCGAUGCUGAAUAGGCGGGGAUGUCUGGAUUCUCACAGAUCCUGCUCCAUGUUGUGGAUUUCCAAACUACUCUCAAUUCCUUCAACAUGAAACAAAAAAUUGCAAGCAGCUACCACGUCACCCGCAUUGACCUACGUGCUCCCCCUGUGCCCUCAGCAUCACACCAGAUCCUUUUGAACCGGUAAAAUUUGAAGGUAACUAGGACACUGAUGAAGAACAUGCGCCCAAGAAUGCUUGCUGUGACGAAGUGGUCCAACUGGAUGGAGAUCAAGCCGAAGAAUGAGCUCUGGCUUUCCAGUUUCCACCUGAUUAGUUUCCAUGUUUUUCCUGGGCCACCCUCCAUCAUGAACUUCAAAGAUGCCGGUGAAAUCAUUAAUGUUCAACAUUUGGGGGAUGGACGUUUCAACUUUAAAGGGACAUGUUACUGUUGAGUUUGCAACAGAAGAAGCCGCGCAGAAGUUAAUAAUGUUGUUGUUACACACGAACAAUGUUGUUGGACACACCACUAUCUGCUCUUCUUUAACUUCCCAAAGUAAGUCGUUUCUGUUGCGAGGUGCAUACAGUGACAUGAUACUCGAUGGUUUACAACCGUCAAGAGAUUCAUUUCACCGAAAAGAGCGAGCUAGGUUGCAAGAUGCUUUUAUUUUAACGAUCAAAAGGAAGCAAUGGGCUUAGCACCUGAAGGUUCUAUACUAAAGUCCUCUUAAGCUGUUGGCAAGGAGUAUGAACUCAGUUCCAUAAGUGCCAUACCACUCGGCAUCAUAAGUAUAAGACGGAAUGCGAAUACCGGCUGUAGAGCACCAUGAGUAUGAGAAGAAAAAAAAUGUAAGAAAAUUUGUAAAUUUUAGGCUUCAAUAUAAAACCAUCUUGGAGGAGGCUUCUCAUAUUGGCCCAUAAAGAAAAACCCCUGGAUGAUCAAAAAUUAAGAAACUAUAUAUGAUUGAUUUUGAACGAUUUUUUGGGGACCAUGGUUUUUUUGGGGACCAUGGUUCUAUUUUUAGUAAGACAUUUAGAAGUAAA